GCAGGCGGAUUGCUUUUUCUCUCAUAUUGUGAUUGCCUUGCAACCUAGCCAUGAAAACAUCUCAAAUAUUUAAUCAUCUGUAACUUUGUGCAGGAUUAUUUGAAGCCGACUUUGUAACAGAACCAAUUAAGGGGAAAAAAUAAGUGUUAAGAGGUUUGUUUGUUUUAACUAUAUCCAGAAAUAGGAUUCCUUGUAACUGCCAAGGAAAUAAUCACAUUAAAAACAAAACAUUCUCUU